rnacentral:rRNA from 1 species
UCGGGAAUAUUGCGCAAUGGAGGAAACUCUGACGCAGUGACGCCGCGUGCAGGAAGAAGGUUUUCGGAUUGUAAACUGCUUUAGACAGGGAAGAAACAAGACAGUACCUGUAGAAUAAGCUCCGGCUAACUACGUGCCAGCAGCCGCGGUAAUACGUAGGGAGCAAGCGUUAUCCGGAUUUAUUGGGUGUAAAGGGUGCGUAGACGGGAAAUUAAGUUAGUUGUGAAAUCCCUCGGCUUAACUGAGGAACUGCAAGUAAAACUGGUUUUCUUGAGUGCUGGAGAGGAAAGUGGAAUUCCUAGUGUAGCGGUGAAAUGCGUAGAUAUUAGGAGGAACACCAGUGGCGAAGGCGACUUUCUGGACAGUAACUGACGUUGAGGCACGAAAGUGUGGGGAGCAAACA